rnacentral:rRNA from 1 species
GAGUUUGAUCCUGGCUCAGGAUGAACGCUAGCGGGAGGCUUAACACAUGCAAGUCGAGCGGUAGGGACCUUCGGGUUCUGAGAGCGGCGCACGGGUGCGUAACGCGUAUGCAACCUGCCUUAUGCAGGGGGAUAGCCCAUGGAAACGUGGAUUAAUACCCCAUAGAUCAGCAGUCCUGCAUGGGACAACUGGUAAAGGUAUUCCGGCAUAAGAUGGGCAUGCGUCUGAUUAGCUAGAUGGUAGGGUAACGGCCUACCAUGGCGACGAUCAGUAGGGGUUCUGAGAGGAUUACACCCCACACUGGUACUGAGACACGGACCAGACUCCUACGGGAGGCAGCAGUGAGGAAUAUUGGUCAAUGGGCGGAAGCCUGAACCAGCCAUCCCGCGUGAAGGAUGAAGGCCUUAUGGGUUGUAAACUUCUUUUCUGAUGGAAGAAAUUCCCCGACGCGUCGGGGUUUGCCGGUACAUCAGGAAUAAGCAUCGGCUAACUCCGUGCCAGCAGCCGCGGUAAUACGGAGGAUGCAAGCGUUAUCCGGAUUUAUUGGGUUUAAAGGGUGCGCAGGUGGCUUAGUAAGUCAGUGGUGAAAGUCUGCCGCUUAACGGUAGGACUGCCAUUGAUACUGCUAGGCUUGAGUUUGGAUGAGGUAGGCGGAAUGUGUAGUGUAGCGGUGAAAUGCAUAGAUAUUACACAGAACACCGAUUGCGAAGGCAGCUUACUAAUCCGCAACUGACACUGAGGCACGAAAGCGUGGGGAUCAAACAGGAUUAGAUACCCUGGUAGUCCACGCUGUAAACGAUGAUCACUCGCUGUUUGCGAUACACAGUAAGCGGCUAAGCGAAAGCGUUAAGUGAUCCACCUGGGGAGUACGAUCGCAAGGUUGAAACUCAAAGGAAUUGACGGGGGCCCGCACAAGCGGAGGAACAUGUGGUUUAAUUCGAUGAUACGCGAGGAACCUUACCUGGGCUUAAAUGGGGAGUGACAGCUGCUGAAAGGUGGUUUUCUUCGGACACUCUUCAAGGUGCUGCAUGGUUGUCGUCAGCUCGUGCCGUGAGGUGUCGGGUUAAGUCCCAUAACGAGCGCAACCCUUACUGUUAGUUGCCAGCGGGUAGAGCCGGGAACUCUAACGGGACUGCCACCGUAAGGUGAGAGGAAGGUGGGGAUGACGUCAAAUCAGCACGGCCCUUAUGUCCAGGGCUACACACGUGUUACAAUGGCCGGUACAAAGGGCAGCUACCCCGCGAGGGGAUGCUAAUCUCGAAAGCCGGUCUCAGUUCGGAUCGAAGUCUGCAACCCGACUUCGUGAAGUUGGAUUCGCUAGUAAUCGCGCAUCAGCCAUGGCGCGGUGAAUACGUUCCCGGGCCUUGUACACACCGCCCGUCAAGCCAUGGGAGCCGGGGGUACCUGAAGUCUGCAACCGCGAGGAGCGGCCUAGGGUAAAACUGGUGACUGGGGCUAAGUCGUAACAAGGUAACCGU